UCUGCUUUUGUUUAGACUGCGAUUGUUUUGAUUUUAGUCAGCUGUUCGAGGGAGACAAAAACACAGAAGGGUCAACCAGCUGUUAUUCUCUUUAAAAUCAUGUUGAGUUUAGUGAUAUUUUGUGCAUCAGCACUGAUGUACUGCAGGGCUGAUAUAAUUGCAAACUUCGUAAUGCCACACGGAGGAAUAGCUUUAGACCCGUCUCAUUUUAACUCCACUAACUCAACAGCCGUGAAGCAAGCCUGGGAACUCCAUCGGGCCUGUGUUGAAGUUGGAGACGAAAUCGCGAGCUUACAACCCGACCUCAUCGUGCUCAGUACGCCACAUGGAAUUGCAGAUUUGAAAAAUUUUAUUUUUUACCUAAACCCUGUAGCUUCAGGAUACGCAGACACUGACAACUGUAAUUGCCCUCCCUGUUGUUACAAUGUCACUGUCAAUGUUGAUGUGGAGAUGACAGAGGAGCUAGUUACUGGUUUAGGGUAUCGAAAUGUUUCUGGACUAAGUGGCUAUGGACCUCCAGGGGGUAGCUCCGAGCCAUUUCCCCUCAGAUGGGGUGAAGUUAUCCCUUUCCACUUUGUUCCAAAACUGAACUGCUCAAAGGUUGCUAUCUUAUCGCAGCCAAGUCGUCGAUACAAGUAUGAUGUGGAAAUGAUACCAGAACUUUUACGACUCGGAGCAGGUCUAUUUGACUACUUGGAAAAGACGAGGAAAAGAGUGGUGGUGAUCAUCAGUGCUGACUUGGCCCACACACACCAGGCCUCCGGGCCGUACGGCUACUCCAACACGUCAGAGCCCUUUGACCUGGCUAUUGGGAAAUGGGCGUCAAACCUGGACCCUGAGGCACUGCUGACCACAGCAGCAUCACUGGUUGACCGGGCUUUGUCUUGUGGCUUCACAGGAAUGGUUAUGCUGCAUGGAUUGAUGGAGGUAACAUGGUGGAACUGAAUUAGUGACUUGGUGACUUGGUUAGAGGAUAUGUAUCAUCGCAGGAUACUAGGUUGGAGGAUAGGUAUCAUUGCAGGUUACUUGGUUGGAGGAUAGGUAUUAUCGCAGGUUACUAAGUAGAAGAAUAGGUAUCAUUGCAGGUUACUUGGUUGGAGGAUAGGUAUCAUCGCAGGUUACUAAGUGGAAGAAUAGGUAUCAUCGCAGGUUGCUUGGUUGGAGGAUAGGUAUCAUCGCAGGUUACUAGGUUGGAGAAUAGGUAUCAUUGCAGGUUAAUUGGUUGGAGGAUAGGUAUCAUCGCAGGUUACUAAGUGGAAGAAUAGGUAUCAUUGCAGGUUGCUUGGUUGGAGGAUAGGUAUCAUCGCAGGUUGCUUGGUUGGAGGAUAGGUAUCAUCGCAGGUUGCUUUGUUGGAGGAUAGGUAUCAUCGCAGGUUACUAGGUGGAAGAAUAGAUAGCAUCGCAGGUUACUUGGUUGGAGGAUAGGUAUCAUCGCAGGUUACUUGGUUUGAGAAUAGGUAUCAUUGCAGGUUACUAGGUUGGAGAAUAGGUAUCAUUGCAGGUUACUUGGUUGGAGGAUAGGUAUUAUCGCAGGUUACUAAGUGGAAGAAUAGGUAUCAUUGCAGGUUACUUGGUUGGAGGAUAGGUAUCAUCGCAGGUUACUAAGUGGAAGAAUAGAUAACAUCGCAGGUUACUAAGUGGAAGAAUAGGUAUCAUCGCAGGUUGCUUGGUUGGAGGAUAGGUAUCAUCGCAGGUUGCUUUGUUGGAGGAUAGGUAUCAUCGCAGGUUACUAGGUGGAAGAAUAGAUAGCAUCGCAGGUUACUUGGUUGGAGGAUAGGUAUCAUCGCAGGUUACUUGGUUUGAGAAUAGGUAUCAUUGCAGGUUACUAGGUUGGAGAAUAGGUAUCAUUGCAGGUUACUAGGUUGAAGAAUAGGUAUCAUUGCAGGUUACUGGGUGGAAGAAUAGGUAUCAUUGCAGGUUACUAGGUUGGAGAAUAGGUAUCAUCGCAGGUUACUAGGUUGGAGAAUAGGUAUCAUUGCAGGUUAAUUGGUUGGAGGAUAGGUAUCAUCGCAGGUUACUAAGUGGAAGAAUAGGUAUCAUCGCAGGUUGCUUGGUUGGAGGAUAGGUAUCAUCGCAGGUUGCUUUGUUGGAGGAUAGGUAUCAUCGCAGGUUACUAGGUGGAAGAAUAGAUAGCAUCGCAGGUUACUUGGUUGGAGGAUAGGUAUCAUCGCAGGUUACUUGGUUUGAGAAUAGGUAUCAUUGCAGGUUACUAGGUUGGAGAAUAGGUAUCAUUGCAGGUUACUUGGUUGGAGGAUAGGUAUUAUCGCAGGUUACUAAGUAGAAGAAUAGGUAUCAUUGCAGGUUACUUGGUUGGAGGAUAGGUAUCAUCGCAGGUUACUAAGUGGAAGAAUAGGUAUCAUUGCAGGUUGCUUGGUUGGAGGAUAGGUAUCAUCGCAGGUUGCUUGGUUGGAGGAUAGGUAUCAUCGCAGGUUACUAGGUUGGAGAAUAGGUAUCAUUGCAGGUUAAUUGGUUGGAGGAUAGGUAUCAUCGCAGGUUACUAAGUGGAAGAAUAGGUAUCAUUGCAGGUUGCUUGGUUGGAGGAUAGGUAUCAUCGCAGGUUGCUUGGUUGGAGGAUAGGUAUCAUCGCAGGUUGCUUUGUUGGAGGAUAGGUAUCAUCGCAGGUUACUAGGUGGAAGAAUAGAUAGCAUCGCAGGUUACUUGGUUGGAGGAUAGGUAUCAUCGCAGGUUACUUGGUUUGAGAAUAGGUAUCAUUGCAGGUUACUAGGUUGGAGAAUAGGUAUCAUUGCAGGUUACUAGGUUGAAGAAUAGGUAUCAUUGCAGGUUACUGGGUGGAAGAAUAGGUAUCAUUGCAGGUUACUAGGUUGGAGAAUAGGUAUCAUCGCAGGUUACUAGGUUGGAGAAUAGGUAUCAUUGCAGGUUAAUUGGUUGGAGGAUAGGUAUCAUCGCAGGUUACUAAGUGGAAGAAUAGAUAACAUCGCAGGUUACUAAGUGGAAGAAUAGGUAUCAUCGCAGGUUGCUUGGUUGGAGGAUAGGUAUCAUCGCAGGUUACUAGAGAAUAGGUAUCAUUGCAUGUUACUAGAGAAUAGGUAUCAUUGCAGGUUACUAGAGAAUAGGUAUCAUUGCAGGUUACUAGAGAAUAGGUAUCAUUGCAGGUUAUUAUGUUGGAGAAUAGAUAUCAUUGUUACUUUUUUCGAGAUUAGGAAUCAUUGCAGGUUACUUGGUUGAAGAAUAGUAAUCAUUGCAGACUUUACAAUUGUUCUAACAAUAUCAUAGCUACUCCUCUCUCCUCUCUGGGAUCUAUGAAAGGGUUGGCUUGCUGAUCGUGCUAGUUAUCAGCUGGUUGGAUAUUUUUCUGGCUUUUCCAAGCAGGUUGCUGUCCCUCCCCGACCCUCUAGAGACACCAGUUUCCCUCAGUCUUGCCUCUAUAGUCGUUGAACAAUGCUGUCAGUGCUGCAAUGACUGUUAUAGAAGCUAAUAACUGAAAUCUCUCACCAUCCUGGACACAAUCGCAAGACAGUUGAAUUUAAAUCCUUUAAAAAAAACCCCAAAGAAAUAUGCGUUGAAUGUUUCAGACAAAAUCCUUCUUCCAUAGACCUGUCCCUGCAGAAUUAUGCAAAUUUAUAUGGCCAAAUUAUGCAAGAAAAAUGCAAAAUUAUGCCAUUCGCGACAUGUUUUGCACUUUUUCAACAAGAAUUUUCUUGUUUUAUGUA